GCAGUCUGUCCGGACAAUAUGCCUUAACUACUUCCAGGCUGACUUGGGCUAUGAUUGGAUCGCCUGGAGAGGUUAAAGGGUAACCAGGCGUUCCUGAACCUGUAGGAGAUUGGGAGCAGCUUGUUGGUCUUCUUCAUGCUCUGGACCUUAGCGUGCGUCUCCUCAUCCAUAGUCUUGUAGCAUCGCCUGGCGUAAUCCAGAAGCUUCUCCUUGGAGGCCUCAAACUCUCCUACAUCAGUCACCUGCAGGAGAAAAACUUCAGUCUUUACAAAGCAGGAGCUCUGCGAUCGGGGAGGUGGAGGCCAUCGUGUUUCGGUCGACUCCGUGGAUCUGGAAGGCUCUGGACAUGCUCCUCACCCGCUGAUCCUCCUCAUCUUCAUCUUCGGCUCUCCGGUGCCACGCCCUCGGCUCUUCUUCUUUGACCCGCUCUCCACAGUCGAGUCUGCAUCAUCCUCCACCUCUUCUUCCCCCUCUUCCUCAACAAACUCUUCCUCUGUGGACAGUGAUGUUGCGGCGGAUCCGAGCUCCGGGGCGCUGGAGGCGUUUGAGGGUCAUCCCCGACCUGGUGGUCAUCGGGGAAGGAGGAGAU